GCGAGUAAUGUCGGGAACUCCAGGGAGACUGCCGGUGAUAAACCGGAGGAAGGUGGGGACGACGUCAAGUCAUCAUGGCCCUUACGAGUAGGGCUACACACGUGCUACAAUGGCGCAUACAGAGGGCGGCCAACUUGCGAAAGUGAGCGAAUCCCAAAAAGUGCGUCGUAGUCCGGAUUGGAGUCUGCAACUCGACUCCAUGAAGUCGGAAUCGCUAGUAAUCGUGGAUCAGAAUGCCACGGUGAAUACGUUCCCGGGCCUUGUACACACCGCCCGUCACACCAUGGGAGUGGGCUGCAAAAGAAGUAGGUAGUUUAACCUUCGGGGGGGACGCUUACCACUUUGUGGUUCAUGACUGGGGUGAAGUCGUAACAAGGUAGCGCUAGGGGAACCUGGCGCUGGAUCACCUCCUUAAACGAUGAU
rnacentral:rRNA from 1 species